UAAUACGUAGGGGGCGAGCGUUGUCCGGAAUUACUGGGCGUAAAGGGUGCGUAGGCGGCGAUGCAAGUCCAUUGUGAAAAGCCCGGGCUUAACCUGGGAGGUGCAGUGGAAACUGUAUGGCUUGAGUGCAGGAGAGGAAAGUGGAAUUCCUAGUGUAGCGGUGAAAUGCGUAGAUAUUAGGAGGAACACCAGUGGCGAAGGCGACUUUCUGGACUGUAACUGACGCUGAGGCACGAAAGCGUGGGGAGCAAACAGG
rnacentral:rRNA from 1 species